CCUACGGGUGGCAGCAGUGAGGAAUAUUGGUCAAUGGGCGGAAGCCUGAACCAGCCAAGUAGCGUGCGUGAUGAAGGCCCUACGGUUCGUAAACCGCUUUUGCACGGGGAUAACACCCUCCACUUGUGGAGGUCUGCAGGUACCGUGCGAAUAAGGGCCGGCUAAUUCCGUGCCAGCAGCCGCGGUACUACGGAAGGCCCGAGCGUUAGCCGGAUUCGUUGGGCUUAAAGGGAGCGUAGGCGGGCGUUCAAGUCAGCUGUACAAUCGCGCGGAUCAACCGCGCCCCGCAGUUGAAACUGGACGCCUUGAGUUCACAACAGGCCAGCGGAAUUCGAGGUGUAGCGGUGGAA
rnacentral:rRNA from 1 species